rnacentral:tRNA from 1 species
UUCCUAGUGGCUCAGACGGUAAAGCAUCUGCCUGCAAUGCAGGAGACCCGGAUUCAAUUCCUGGGUUGGGAA